rnacentral:rRNA from 1 species
AGAGUUUGAUCCUGGCUCAGGAUGAACGCUGGCGGCGUGCUUAACACAUGCAAGUCGAACGAACCUUCGGGUUAGUGGCGGACGGGUGAGUAACGCGUGGGAAUCUGCCCUCAGGAGGGGGAUAACGGUUGGAAACGACCGCUAAUACCCCAUAUGCCGAGAGGUGAAAUGAAUUUCGCCUGAGGAUGAGCCCGCGUCUGAUUAGCUUGUUGGUGAGGUAAUGGCUCACCAAGGCAUCGAUCAGUAGCUGGUCUGAGAGGAUGAUCAGCCACACUGGGACUGAGACACGGCCCAGACUCCUACGGGAGGCAGCAGUGGGGAAUUUUCCGCAAUGGGCGAAAGCCUGACGGAGCAACGCCGCGUGAGGGACGAAGGCCUCUGGGCUGUAAACCUCUUUUCUCAAGGAAGAAGAUAUGACGGUACUUGAGGAAUAAGCCACGGCUAAUUCCGUGCCAGCAGCCGCGGUAAUACGGGAGUGGCAAGCGUUAUCCGGAAUUAUUGGGCGUAAAGCGUCCGCAGGCGGCCUUUCAAGUCUGCUGUUAAAGCGUGGAGCUCAACUCCAUCAUGGCAGUGGAAACUGAUUGGCUUGAGUAUGGUAGGGGCAGAGGGAAUUCCCGGUGUAGCGGUGAAAUGCGUAGAUAUCGGGAAGAACACCAGUGGCGAAGGCGCUCUGCUGGGCCAUUACUGACGCUCAUGGACGAAAGCCAGGGGAGCGAAAGGGAUUAGAUACCCCUGUAGUCCUGGCCGUAAACGAUGAACACUAGGUGUCGGGGGAAUCGACCCCUUCGGUGUCGUAGCUAACGCGUUAAGUGUUCCGCCUGGGGAGUACGCACGCAAGUGUGAAACUCAAAGGAAUUGACGGGGGCCCGCACAAGCGGUGGAGUAUGUGGUUUAAUUCGAUGCAACGCGAAGAACCUUACCAGGGCUUGACAUCCUGCGAACCUUUAAGAAAUUAGAGGGUGCCUUCGGGAACGCAGUGACAGGUGGUGCAUGGCUGUCGUCAGCUCGUGUCGUGAGAUGUUGGGUUAAGUCCCGCAACGAGCGCAACCCACGUUUUUAGUUGCCAGCAUUUAGUUGGGCACUCUAGAAAGACCGCCGGUGAUAAACCGGAGGAAGGUGUGGAUGACGUCAAGUCAUCAUGCCCCUUACGUCCUGGGCUACACACGUACUACAAUGCUACGGACAAAGGGCAGCAAACUCGCGAGAGCUAGCAAAUCCCAUAAACCGUGGCUCAGUUCAGAUCGUAGGCUGCAACUCGCCUACGUGAAGUAGGAAUCGCUAGUAAUCGCAGGUCAGCAUACUGCGGUGAAUACGUUCCCGGGCCUUGUACACACCGCCCGUCACACCAUGGAAGUUGGCCACGCCCGAAGUCGUUACUUUAACCCUUGUGGAGAAGGACGCCGAAGGUGGGGCUGAUGACUGGGGUGAAGUCGUAACAAGGUAGCCGUACCGGAAGGUGCGGCUG